GCCCGUAGCCUAGCUGGAUAGGGCGCAGUGCCAGUGGAGCCUGAUGUCGGGGGUUCAAAUCCCUUCGGGC
rnacentral:tRNA from 1 species